rnacentral:lncRNA from 1 species
AAAAUCCACCAGUGCACAAUUUCUGGAAAAAUCAUCAAAAAAUAAUAGAGAUCAUGAUGAACAUUGUGAAAAAAACCUCAUGUCAUUUGGAUUAAUAUUGAUUGAGAUAUGAAUUUUUGAAUGGAAGAAAAAAAUAAAAAAUGCACAUGGAAGCAUACGAGGAAUAGCAUGGUUAAAAGUGAAAAAUGCAAAAGCAAAAAAAGAAAAUGCCGGAGGCCAGGAUCGAG